rnacentral:rRNA from 1 species
UACGAAGGGGGGCUAGCGUUGCUCGGAAUCACUGGGCGUAAAGCGCACGUAGGCGGGUCCUUAAGUCAGGGGUGAAAUCCCGGAGCUCAACUCCAGAACUGCCUUCGAUACUGGCGAUCUUGAGUCCGGAAGAGGUGAGUGGAACUCCUAGUGUAGAGGUGGAAUUCGUAGAUAUUAGGAAGAACACCAGUGGCGAAGGCGGCUCACUGGUCCGGUACUGACGCUGAGGUGCGAAAGCGUGGGGAGCAAACAGGGAUUAAGAAACC